rnacentral:misc_RNA from 1 species
UGGUUACAUAUUACUGGGUAGAUAUCCAAAUGAGCUUAUAAAAGCACUUGGAAGAGAAACUUGGAAGAAAGCAAAUCGUUUCAAAGUUUGGAAAUAUCCCUUAGAACUUGCAUGGGAUGUUCAUGCUGUCAUUGCAUCAGACUUAUAUUUGGUAAUAUAGGAUAAUUAUAGACCAAAAAAGAUGAGAGAUAGUGGGAGCUUAUGCUACAAUAUUUCACAUGAAAUGGGAGGUAUAUUUGCAUAUUUAAAUUAUUUGGUGCCUGCAACCAGAAAAGAAAUCCUGGAGAUCCUAAUAACGGGACUCAAACGAAUGGAAUAUAGAGGAUAUGAUUCUGCAGGCGUAGCCUUUGACACUUCUGAAUGCAGUGACAAGAAGUGUACGCUGAAAACCAUAAAGAAAAGGGGAAAAGUUGCAAGCCUUGAAGGAGAAAUACAAAAGGAAAAUGGUUUAUCAAGUACAAAACAGUACGAGAUCCACUGUGGUAUCGCACAUACUAGAUGGGCUACUCAUGGAGAACCUAGCGAGCUGAACUGCCAUCCCCAGAGAUCUGACCCCAACAAUGAAUUUCUGGUUGUGCAUAAUGGUAUCAUCACAAACUACAAAGACAUAAAGUCUCUUCUGGAAAACAAAGGGUUUGUGUUUGAGUCUGAGACGGACACAGAAGUGAUAGCCAAGUUGGCCAAGCAUGUUUAUGACACAUACGUUCAUGAUGGAACGUUCAGACAGGUUGUGGAGAUUGUUAUACAGCAACUGGAGGGAGCGUUUGCCCUGGCAUUCAUGAGCUCAAACUUUCCAGGAGAAUGUGUAACAACAAGACGUGGCAGCCCAUUGGUGAUUGGUGUAAAAACAAAAAGCAAGCUGUCGACAGAUCAUAUUCCUGUGUUCUACAGUAAAGAUCAUCAACAGAAAGGGACAAAAGACUAUAAUCAGAAUGAAGACAAUCGUGGUUUCAUGACUGCACCUACAGCGCAAAGAUCGUUUUCCGAGACAGAGUACCAUACAGUGGGACCAGAAAAGGAAGUGGAAUAUUUCUUUGCCUCCGAUGCAAGCGCUAUUAUUGAGCACACAAACCAGGUCAUCUUUCUGGAAGAUGAUGAUGUUGCCGCCGUGUCGAAGGGCAGUCUGACGCUCCACAGGAUCAAACGUAACCAGCUCGAUGAGUCUAAUGUCAGAGAGGUGAUCACGCUUAAAAUGGAACUGCAAGAAAUCAUGAAAGGUAACUAUAGCUCAUUCAUGCAGAAAGAAAUCUUUGAACAGCCAGAAUCUGUCGUCAACACGAUGAGAGGGCGUGUCAACUUCGAGGAAAACACUGUUACUUUAGGAGGAAUCAAAGAAUUUAUGAACGAAAUAAAACGAUGCCGCAGGCUUCUGUUCAUAGCCUGUGGAACGAGUUACCACAGUGCAAUAGCAACAAGACAGUUGAUGGAAGAGCUGACAGAGUUACCAGUCAUGGUUGAGCUGGCCAGUGACUUUCUUGACAGAAGUACACCUGUCUUCAGAGAUGACGUCUGCUUCUUUAUAAGUCAGUCAGGUGAAACUGCUGAUACUUUAAUGGCCUUAAACUACUGCAAAUCACGUGGAGCACUUAUCGUUGGUAUAACAAAUACAGUUGGUAGCAGCAUCUGUAGAGGCUCACACUGUGGUGUGCACAUUAAUGCAGGGCCAGAAAUUGGUGUGGCUAGUACAAAGGCUUACACUAGUCAGUUUAUAUCCUUGGUGAUGUUUGGCCUUAUGAUGUGUGAUGACAGGAUCUCAAUGCAGGAACGAAGGAAAGAAAUCAUUCAGGGUCUCAAACAUUUACCUGAACAAAUUAAAGAAGUGUUGCAGCUAGAUGAACAAAUACACAAGUUGGCUCAAGAACUCUACACCCAGAAGUCACUGCUUGUGAUGGGCAGGGGAUACAACUUCGCCACAUGCCUUGAAGGAGCUUUGAAAAUCAAGGAGCUGACCUACAUGCACUCUGAAGGUAUUUUAGCGGGUGAACUGAAGCAUGGACCGUUGGCGUUAGUGGAUAAAGCUAUGCCAGUUAUGAUGGUGGUUACAAGGGACAAGGUCUACUCUAAAUGUAUGAAUGCUUUACAGCAAGUGAAGGCCAGACAUGGGCGCCCAAUUCUAGUUUGUAAUUCGAAGGAUGAAGAGACGGAAAAAUUAUGGAGAUAAAUGCAUUGGGGUCCCGCAUACAGUAGAUUGUCUACAAGGAAUACUUACUGUGAUCCCCAUGCAGCUACUGUCUUUUCAUAUAGCCGUUCUCAGAGGAUAUGAUGUUGACUGCCCAAGAAACCUAGCAAAGAGUGUUACCGUGGAAUAAUCUCCCCCUGCUUCAU